rnacentral:lncRNA from 1 species
CGCCCGCGGGCGCUGACCGAGCGGGGCCGGGGACGCGCCUCCGCCCGCUGCCUGGAAGCCGCUCGGCGCGGGGCCAACAACCAGAACGACGCCCCGCCCGCCCUGCGGACUCGCCCGGAGCCUCAGGGCGAAGCCCCAGCCCGGGGCGGUGGACCAGGCAAGAUCCCAGCGGAGACCCCGCUGUCUUCACAUCGGCGCUCCUUGGCCUCCGGGGUCCCCAGGCAGUGCGCACGCGGGCCGAACUGAUGUGGACUUAGGAAGCACAUUCAAAAAGGCUGUGUUGGUGGCUUGGAGAAAAAGAAAACAAGUCAAACAACAUGGAGGGCAGAGCGGGCUGCGUGAGGGAUGAAGGAUUCAGACAUGGCCCUGAGAGUUAACAGACAACCUUAGGUGUUUAUUUCCAGGAUGGCCUCCUUACCAUUUUGGCACCGCCACACUGCCCUCAUCACAAGGACUGUUGUCACCAAAGUGAUGGCUACUGCUGUAUCUCAUCAACACUGAGCUGAUGUUACGUGGAUGGUUCCUUUGCCCAGUCCCCACCAAUAAUACAGAAUUUUCCAUUGUAUCCAUUUGGCGAUGUCAGUGAGGAAGAGCUGAUUUGAGUAAAACAUCUAAGCUCAAAUCAUUUUCUGCAAUCUCUAUCUGGCUUGAAAUUUCAUGUCAGUAUCAGUUUUUAAAAUUUCUUUUCCAUUUUCCUUAUUUAGACUUUGCAGAACAAAGGAUACUUUAUUCUCAAUCUUCCUGGCCCUAAAUAUGAAUCUGAGAAUGCUUGUUUUACGAUGCCUUUGAUUUCUUUCUUAGUCUUUCAAAACAACAAU